rnacentral:rRNA from 1 species
UACGUAGGCAGCAAGCGUUGUUCGGAAUUACUGGGCGUAAAGAGUGUGUAGGCGGUGCUCUAAGUUUGGUGUGAAAUCUCCCGGCUCAACUGGGAGGGUGCGCCGAAUACUGAAUGACUUGGAGUGCGGGAGAGGAGAGUGGAAUUCCUGGUGUAGCGGUGAAAUGCGUAGAUAUCAGGAGGAACACCGGUGGUGUAGACGGCUCUCUGGACCGUAACUGACGCUGAGACACGAAAGCGUGGGUAGCAAACAGG